UACGUAGGGUGCAAGCGUUGUCCGGAAUUAUUGGGCGUAAAGAGCUCGUAGGCGGUCUGUCGCGUCGAAUGUGAAAACCCGGGGCUCAACCCCGGGCCUGCAUUCGAUACGGGCAGACUAGAGGCAUGCAGGGGAGAACGGAAUUCCUGGUGUAGCGGUGAAAUGCGCAGAUAUCAGGAGGAACACCGGUGGCGAAGGCGGGUCUCUGGGCCGAUAUUGACGCUGAGGAGCGAAAGCGUGGGGAGCAAACAGG
rnacentral:rRNA from 1 species